CCUUAGAGAAGGCAGAAAAGAAAGAAUCCAGCUGAGUUUGUGCUCCCACAAAUGAUUUGGUGCUAGCUGAUAUUCCAGCUAAGCUGCUGAUGAACAGCUUAAUUGCAUGAUGCCUUUUCUUUAUGCUGUCAUGAAAAAUGAAUAUGUUUCCUGAAAACUGCUUUCCUAGUUGAAGAGGUCAUCAACAGUUAAAAUGAGCUGAGAAGACACCAGAAGCCAUAAAUCAGAAAGCAACCACAUGUGUCUUUGUUAAUACACCUGGACUUUGUGAGGAAUAAAUGUUUUAGCAGGGGAAACUCUGCCACUCUGAACUGCAAAACCCCCCUUUCUUCUUCACCCCAAAGGAACAUUUGCAAGUGUUCAGACAGAAAUGAUUGAAUAGCUGAAACUGUACAAAUACCUGCUUGUCCUGGUAAGCCAGGCCAGCCGGGAGUUCCCUUUUCACCUGGAAAUCCAGGUGUCCCAGGGCUUCCUUGCUGCCCUGGGGGGCCAACCAGUCCUGGCAAACCUGUGUGGCAACAAUGAAUCAUUGGUCAUGAGCAUCCUUAAAACCAACAGCCCAAAACCCCAACUUGUGCUACUUUCAUUCCCCCAGGCAGCAAACUGAAGACUUUCCCUUCCUAAUGUCAUUGUAUGACACUGCACUGCUCAUCCAAGUGCAAGAAAACUAAAGAGAGCACAGGUAGGAGAGACAAACUCAUUACAAACUUCAGGUUUCUGACAACCUCAGAAAAGACAGUGGGCUCCUCCUAUUAAAAUGAUAAUUUGACUUCUAUUGCCAGUUACAAUAAGUGAUUUCAUUGCUGUGCAUGUUACUUUCCCCUUCUGCUGCACCUGUUUUGCCUUUCUGACUGAGAAGCUCAUCAGACAAGAACUGUUUCCCAGUGAGGCACCUAUCAAAACUCUUCCACUUUUGCCUGGAGUUUCUAAGCCCUCUAAUAAGGAGAAAUGUGGAACAACUGUUCUGAAAGAGCCUUUCCAUGAUCCUCCUGCAACAAGACAUGUUCUUAAGUCCUGAGUGUAUGAUCUGGCCUCAGCUGAACCUGACUUGGAUUCUCUUGUACAGUUGGCCAAUGAGCCUGGCUCGAAGGCUCUGUAACUGUGUCCUGGGGGAUACUGACUUCAUUUAUGGCAGAAAAGGUCAUUGAAAAGCCCACUCCUUGUAGUACUGAGACAACACUAGAAUACCUGAGUAUGCCAGCAAUACAACACUUUGACUGGACACGUGGUUGCUAUAAAGAAGCAAAAACUGGUAUGAAGCAGAGCUAGGUUUCUGCAAUUUUCUCUUAACUUCUGCUGUGAGUUCCACAUCCUUGUCACUGCUCUUCACCAACUUACAGAAUGAUGAACAUAUUAAAAAACAUAAUGACUUUCUUUUGA